CUUGUAAAAUAAGGAGUCCCGAUGACCGAGUGGUCUUAGUAGAACACAAUUGUCGAUAUAAUAUAGUACUUCUACAACUGUUUUGCUAGCCUGUCAACACUGAGAUUAUGAGAUCGAACACCGCUCGCGGUAGGUGCGUUUUACUUCAAUCGUAAUUGACUUACAAUGCACAUUUUCCUGCCGAAGGUUUUCUCUGGACCCUCCGGUUCUCUCCACAAAAAACACUAACCGUUGUCAUAAUACCCAAUAGUUCUGUAAGUGGCGUGGAACACAAAUAAUCAGAGUCUGACUAUAAAUUAAAGUGGUAUACAAAAAAUCAUGUAAAUGUUGUAGCCGUAGGCAAACACCUAUACAUUAACAUUAUUAUAAAUAUCACCAUUUCAAAUCGACGAAGUCCGUUAUAAUUUGUUU
rnacentral:lncRNA from 1 species